rnacentral:rRNA from 1 species
AACGAACGCUGGCGGCAUGCCUAACACAUGCAAGUCGAACGAGACCUUCGGGUCUAGUGGCGCACGGGUGCGUAACGCGUGGGAACCUGCCCUUAGGUUCGGAAUAACUCCCCGAAAGGGGUGCUAAUACCGGAUAAUGUCUUCGGACCAAAGAUUUAUCGCCUUUGGAUGGGCCCGCGUUGGAUUAGCUAGUUGGUAGGGUAAAAGCCUACCAAGGCGACGAUCCAUAGCUGGUCUGAGAGGAUGAUCAGCCACACUGGGACUGAGACACGGCCCAGACUCCUACGGGAGGCAGCAGUAGGGAAUAUUGGACGAUGAGCGAAAGCCUGAUCCAGCAGUGCCGCGUGAGUGAUGAAGGCCUUAGGAUUGUAAAGCUCUUUUACCCGGGAUGAUAAUGACAGUACCGGGAGAAUAAGCACCGGCUAACUCCGUG